GUCGGGAAAACUCAGCUGGUUGAACCAGAGGACUGAAAAUCCUCGUGUCACCAGUUCAAAU
rnacentral:tRNA from 1 species